GGUACAGCUCAGUGAUACAGCACAUGCCUCACAAGUAUGAGGCCCUGGGUUCAAUCCCAGUACCA
rnacentral:tRNA from 1 species